ensembl:lncRNA
GUGUAGGCUGGCCCAGAACAAUGGGGAAAGGAAGAGGAGGGCUGGAACAAAGGGAACUGGCUGGCCUGGAGCAAGAUAUGUACAUAUUCAAGGAGCCUCGGGGUAACAGCUGUCCUGAAGUUGGGAGAGUGGGUUGGAGUGGAGAAUGGAGGAGGAGUAGAGUCUGCAGAGCCGUGAAUGCCAGAUUCACCUAGAACUUUUCCCUUAAGUGUGUGUUUUGUUUUGAGGGCAGGGCACUUAAUGAAAAGAAGAGUAGACUGAGAGCCUUGUGCAGAAGGAACCAGACGUGGAGAGGAAAGGAUGAAAAGAAUACUUAGAAAGGGGCUCUAGUACUGGGCUCAGUCAUUCGACUCCAUUUAGGGGGUGCUUGCUCUGUGUCCUGAGAUAGAAGAGAGCAGCUCUUCCCUGAAGGAGCUCACAGUCUAGUGAUAGGAGACAGAAUAUUCUCAUGCAGUGCCGUGAACACUACCGUAGAAGAGUUAGGAAUUCCCAGCCUGGGCCAUCCGGGAAGGCUUCCCAGAGGAAGAGACACCAGAAGGACUAAUUUGCAGGACUAAAUAGAGUUAGCUAGGUGCAGAAGUCGGGGAAGAGCAAUCCAGACAGAGGAUCAGCAGGCGCUCAGGCACUGAAGCAAGAGAGAGCAAGAGGCAUUGCAGGAACUGCAAGCAGAUUGAUUGGCUCAGGUGAAGGUGGGACAUGAGCAAGCGACCAGAGAGCGAAUCCAAGAUGUGCAAAGAGAAUUUUUUAAAAGCAGCUGGUAUUACUAUAAUUUGUCAGCAAACGGAUUAUGGAAAGUCUUUCAUUCAAUCAAGACGGUGAAGGCAAAGGCCUUAGUCCCUGCUGAUCAAAAUAAUAGCAUCAGUCAAUAGUAAUUUAUAUGAUGAUCCAGAUGCCGCUUCUUCCCCAGGAGGAGCAGUGGAAAGAAAACCGGGCGAAGCAUUCAGCAUUCUGGAUUCCAGGUCUUGUCCUAUCACUAAUCAUCUGCCCAAAGUCAGAAAGGGUCAACUCAGUUGGGAAAGAUUUCAAUAAGAUGAAACCUCAAUUCUUCAUUAAAAGAUAUUGGAAAUGAGACCCUCAAAGCACCCAUGGUAUGUGCAGACCUUUAGAAUCUUGCCAAAGCGGGUAUGCCAAACUGAGGACGUUUGUGAUCCAGGAGGACGACGACCUCUGCUCUCCGUCGGGCCGGGACUGCAGCCUGUGCAGAACUGUUUAUACCGGCACUUUGUGCCAAUGAUACACUGCUAAGGGUGCAUAUCAAUCAGGUCCCUGGAUGAUGCUGAUGCUGAUGGUCCAUGCACACAGUCUGAGUAGCAAGAAACUAGAGCAUCUGAGCAUAAGAUUUGUGAUGUGGAGUGACAGGAUCCAGGUGUGAAGGUCGUCCAUGCCAUUCUGAGGAGUGUGGAGCUGAUCCUGUAGGAAACGUCUCUGGGCCUGACUAACAUGGAAAGGACAUGAAAGUUUGCCAGAAAAUGGAUUGCUCGCUGAUGGGAAGAGAAAUGUAAAAGCGAUUGGGAUUCCUCUAUCCAUCGUUCCACUUGGACCAAAUAAAAGAGUGGGACUCCAUGUUUUUUUCUUUUCUUUCUGACAUUCUUCUUCUUCUUUGCUGAUGCUAAUAGAAGUGAACAUGCUGCUAAUUAUGGUGUUUGUGUAAGACCACAGUGGCCUGGAGAAGGAUCGCGUGCCCUGAGGGUAUGCUUGCAUCUAACGGGUAAUCAUCACUGUAUGAAGACUUCCAGGCUGGCAACGUUACAAGCAACAAGACACGGAAGAUCUUCUUUCAGACUCUGUCUGAUGGCAAACAUACAAAUCACGGGCCAAAAUGAUGAGAUCGAGAAAUGGAGAAAUCUGAGGAACAGAGAGGGGGGCCGAAGUUUUCAAGUUCACUCAGCAGAGCAACGUGGAGCUGCUAGAUUGCAGUUUGGAAAGUAAAGAUGUAUAAUGAACUGGAAAAGAAGAUGAGGUGGGAUGGGGAGCACAGAGGUUGAGGCAACAGUGGUUUCCACACGAGGCUAGAUGGCAGAUCACCAUGCUCCGGAUAUGUGGAACGGAAGCAGGGGUGUUUGGCCCCAUGUAAACCAGAGGCAAAUGGCACAUCUGGACCAUCCCAGCAAAAAAAGGUCACGUUUCCUCCUACAUCUUCUGCUGACGUCUAAGAUACGAAAAACGAGAAUGGAUACACAGAGAUGGUGAUUGAAAAUCUUUCUGGUGUCUUUAUUCCUGGGUGGUUUUCUCCAAAGCACCAGCCCUCAACCUUUCUGACC